AGUAAUGUGGCUCAGUUGGUUAGAGCCUUUACUUUGAACCAUGAGGGGAGGGGUUCGAAUCCCCUCCUCUCCA
rnacentral:tRNA from 1 species